CAUUGGCUGGAUUGUUCCAUCGAUCAAAUCUCAGGAAGUAGCUCCCCACAUGAGCAAGAGAGGAUAAGGUGGAGAGGGAGUAAGAUCACUAGAAAGCCGCAUGCUGCCAGACCACCAAAGGACCCUAGAGGUUGAAGAACAUCCCCAACACCCAGACUGACCUAAAGAACUUGGGAACCUCCCAGACACCAGGAGAAUCAUCUUGUUCUUGGUGUUUAUUCACAAGAAAUGGUCAGAUACAGCAAAUGUCACUGCAAAAAAAAACAUUCUGCCAACACCUCCAAAGACAUUUGAUCAAGUUGGCAGUACAUUGCUAUUUCCUUUACAUACGGUCUUGGCCUAAUUCUAAUACUUCCAACGUACACAGCAAAUAAGGGCGUUAUUGUCACCAUAAAAGGUGACUGAUGGAGUCUUAAUGCCCUUUCCCACACACAGUUUUACGACAGGUCUGAUUUAUAACGGGAAACAUGCGUAUUUAUGGGGUGCAUCAAGUUUAAAAAUCUAUAUUUUUGUGAGUGCAUAGUCUUUUUAGAAAUGGCACAUGCAGCUAUUUAGUGUUAAAUUUACACAAAGGUUAUAAAUGAGGCCCCUGGAGAGAAAAUAAACUGGCCUCAGAACAACUCCCUACUUGGAGUCAGACAAUCAACAGUGAAUACAUAGAAUGAAGAUGAGAGAAUCCUUCUCUGGGUGUGAGUUGCUAAUAUCUGACUAGACGAACAACAAAGGAGAGGAGAUGUGUAUUUUAUUAUGAUAUCAAAAACAUAUUUAAAUCUUGCCAUGUUUAUGAUUUGAGGGGGUAUACAUUUUCAGUUCACAAAGAUUAGUUAAAUAUUUACAGUUAAUAUACACAUGCGUAAGUUACUAUAUUCAAAUGUGAGUUCCGUGAAAAUCAUAUCAGAAUAAUUCAACAUUAUCUAUCAGAGUUGGGAUCAAUUCCAUUUCAAUUCCAGUCAAUUCCAAAUUUUACUAAUUGAAAAACAUUGGAAGAGAAUUGGAAUUUAAACUGUACUUUCUGAACUAACCCCAAACCUGGUAUCUAUGUAGAAUAUAAAGUUACUGAAUCU
rnacentral:lncRNA from 1 species